rnacentral:rRNA from 1 species
UACGUGAGGGGCAAGCGUUGUCCGGAAUCAUUGGGCGUAAAGAGCGUGUAGGCGGUUCGGUAAGUCCGUCGUGAAAGUCCAGGGCUCAACCCUGGAAAGCCGAUGGAUACUGCUGGACUAGAGUCCGGAAGAGGCGAGUGGAAUUCCUGGUGUAGCGGUGAAAUGCGCAGAUAUCAGGAGGAACACCAAUGGCGAAGGCAGCUCGCUGGGACGGUACUGACGCUGAGACGCGAAAGCCGUGGGGGAGCAAACAGGAAUUAGAUACCCGUGGUAAGUCCG